UGUCCUUACAGUAAUCAGUUGAA
rnacentral:piRNA from 1 species